rnacentral:sRNA from 18 species
GCGUUCUUCAAGCGAACUUGGGAUAGUGGGAGCCAAGUAGGGCAAAAUAAAGAACUGGCGCUUUCUGUAAUAUUUUUAAAAACAAAUGAAGUAAUAAAUUAGGGUGGAACCGCGUUUCUGACG